UAGCUCAGUUGGGAGAGCGCUCCACUAAAAAUGGAGAGGUCCCUGGUUCGAUAAGACCAGG
rnacentral:tRNA from 1 species